UUUAUUAUUUUGAUUUUAUAUUUAAUUAUGUUUUAUUAUUUUAAUUUUAUAUUUAAUUAUGUAAGGUCAAAAUUAGGGUUAGAUUUUACGUUGGGUUUGGGCUCUCACCUUUUAUGAUUCAAGCCCUUUCCAUGUUUCUACUACACCCCUUUAGCUUCUUUUUUUUAAUAAUUUAAUUUAUUUCAUUUAAUUGAUUUAUUUUCUUAAUCAUUUAUUCAAAAUGCAAAAAAUAAUUU
rnacentral:lncRNA from 1 species